UACAGAGGUCUCAAGCGUUGUUCGGAAUCACUGGGCGUAAAGGGUGCGUAGGUGGCGUGGUAAGUCAGAUGUGAAAGCCCGGGGCUCAACCUCGGAACUGCAUCCGAUACUACCAUGCUAGAGUAUUGAAGGGGAAACUAGAAUUCUCGGUGUAGCAGUGAAAUGCGUAGAUAUCGAGAGGAAUACCAAAGGCGAAGGCAGGUUUCUUGGCAAUUACUGACACUGAGGCACGAAGGCCAGGGUAGCGAACGGG
rnacentral:rRNA from 1 species